AUUGAACGCUGGCGGCAUGCCUUACACAUGCAAGUCGAACGGUAACAGGUCUUCGGAUGCUGACGAGUGGCGAACGGGUGAGUAAUACAUCGGAACGUGCCCGAGAGUGGGGGAUAACGAAGCGAAAGCUUUGCUAAUACCGCAUACGAUCUCAGGAUGAAAGCAGGGGACCGCAAGGCCUUGCGCUCACGGAGCGGCCGAUGGCAGAUUAGGUAGUUGGUGGGAUAAAAGCUUACCAAGCCGACGAUCUGUAGCUGGUCUGAGAGGACGACCAGCCACACUGGGACUGAGACACGGCCCAGACUCCUACGGGAGGCAGCGGUGGGGAAUUUUGGACAAUGGGCGCAAGCCUGAUCCAGCCAUGCCGCGUGCAGGAUGAAGGCCUUCGGGUUGUAAACUGCUUUUGUACGGAACGAAAAGACUCUGGUUAAUACCUGGGGUCCAUGACGGUACCGUAAGAAUAAGCACCGGCUAACUACGUGCCAGCAGCCGCGGUAA
rnacentral:rRNA from 1 species